GAUGAAGAACGUAGUGAAAUGCGAUAAGUAAUGUGAAUUGCAGAAUUCCGUGAAUCAUCGAAUCUUUGAACGCACAUUGCGCCCCCUGGCAUUCCGGGGGGCAUGCCUGUCCGAGCGUCAUUUCUGCCCUCCAGCCCGGCUGGGUGUUGGGCGCUGUCCCCCCGGGGACACGCCCCAAAGGCAGUGGCGGCGCCGCGUCGGGUCCUCGAGCGUAUGGGGCUUUGUCACCCGCUCGGGACGGACUCGUCGGCGCUGGUCUUCCUCCAGGCGACCCUUCGGGGCUCGUCUUCCUUCGGUUGACCUCGGAUCAGGUAGGGUUACCCGCUGAACUUAAGCAUAUCAAUAAGCGGAGGA
rnacentral:misc_RNA from 1 species